rnacentral:rRNA from 1 species
UACGAAGGGGGCUAGCGUUGUUCGGAUUUACUGGGCGUAAAGCGCACGUAGGCGGAUCGUUAAGUCGGGGGUGAAAUCCUGGAGCUCAACUCCAGAACUGCCUUCGAUACUGGCGAUCUUGAGUCCGGAAGAGGUGAGUGGAACUCCUAGUGUAGAGGUGGAAUUCGUAGAUAUUAGGAAGAACACCAGCGGCGAAGGCGGCUCACUGGUCCGGUACUGACGCUGAGGUGCGAAAGCGUGGGGAGCAAACAGG